rnacentral:rRNA from 1 species
CCUACGGGUGGCAGCAGUGGGGAAUAUUGCACAAUGGUGGAAACCCUGAUGCAGCGACGCCGCGUGAGUGAAGAAGGAAUUCGUUAUGGAAAGCUCUAUCAGCAGGGAAGAAAAUGACGGUACCUGAGUCAGAAUCCCCGGCUAACUACGUGCCAGCAACCGCGGUAAUACGUCGGUGGCAAGCGUUAUCCGGAUUUAUUGGGUGUAAAGGGGGUGUAGGCGGGAGCGCAAGUCAGAUGGGAAAACUCAGGGCUCAACCCUGAGCCUGCAUUUGAAACUGUGUGUCUUGAGUGCGGGAGAGGCAAGCGGAAUGCGGGGUGUAGCGGUGAAAUGCGUAGAUAUAGGGAGGAACACCAGUGGCGAAGGCGGAAUGCCGG